UCUUCUUUUGCUUUCUUCUUCUUUAUUCUUUUUCUUCUUCUUCUUAUUCAUUUCUCAUUCUUCUUCUCUUUCUUUCUUCUAUGCUCUUCUUCUGUAAACGUUGAGAGGUAAGUUGAGAUCCGAUUUUAUUGAAUCAAUUGAGGUUAGUAUACAGAUGCUGAAGGUGAUAGUGCUGCUGCGAAUUAGGAAGAGAACUAUAAGGAAUCGGAGAUAUAAAUCAAGGGAAAUUUCGUUAGGGUUUUCUAAACUCGUUAACUGAAUUCGUAUGCAAUUGAUAUGGUACUUAGGUUGCUUCCAGAGGAAUAUGACAAGGGUUGUGGUUGAAUUGAAGCUUAGCAGUUGACGUGUUGUAAAAUUGAAGCAUUGGGGUUUCGAGAAGUUGGUUUGAAACUCAAUUCGAGAGAUUAAUCGUAAGAUUUGUGUUCAGUAGAAGGUGGAAUAGAUCAUGGGGUUUAUAUUGGUGGUGGUACUGGCUCAAGCGGCUGAUACAGAACUUGGAGAAAAGGUAAUUAGGGUUCUUUAAAAUUGAAGAUUAAAUUGUGUGAUUUUGAGUAAUUGAUUAAGAAACUAGUGAUGGGUUUUGAUUAGAUCUGAAGUAGAGAUGUUUAUAUAAGUUUAAUUUUGAUUUUUAACUGAAGUUAGGGUUUCUGUUAAAUUGUGAUUGUUGUUGGUCGAAGAAUUUGUGCUAAUUCGAUAGGGUUUGAGUUAAUUAAGGCAUUGAUUUUAUUGUGUGUGGUUGUAUUGCUGGAAUUUUGGAAGUUAAGGUGAUUAUUGUGAGUCGGGAACUAGAGUUAUCUUUUGGUUAAAAACAUGAAGAAACUAUAGGUAUUUCAUUAUGCAGAAGGGUUGGUAACUCAUGGAGAAACUACUAAUGACUAUCUCAAAUGGAUGAAAGAUGAUGAUGCAGUUGUAGAGUGGAGAAUCUGUUUUGGUUGUGUAUAGUUGCUGAAGUUAAAUCUAAUGAAGCUAAUGGAAGGAGUCGUAGUCAUGUUGAACUGAGAUGAAUUGAGGCAGAUGAGAAGUGGCUCAGUUGGAAGAUAAAGUUUAUUACAAUUCAGGGAAGAUUUGAUGUGGUGCUAUUGAGUAUGGAAAUGGACAGAGCUAGAUAUUUGUGUGGAGAUUGAAUUACAAUUGGGAGUGAAGUAUAAUUCUAUAUGGGUGUUGUGGGACUGAGACUAUUUUGAGGUAAUUAUCCUUCUCAAGGAAUUUGGUAAAGUUAACUCUUUAUGUUGUUUCUUAUGUGAUUGUUAUGGAGCCAUGAAUUGAGAUUGAGUUUCAUUGAUUAAAAUCUGUGUUGUUGAUGAAGUUGUGAAGCUAGAAAUGUUAUGGUUGAAUAGUGAAGUUGCAUUUAGUUGUAUGAAUGAGUUGUUGCGGAUAUUAGUGGUAGUGUUAUUGGUGUUUCUUAUGUUGUCUGUAAUUGGAUGAAGUGACAAUGAUGAUGUCGCAGGAAUUCAAGUUGAGUGUGCCGAUUUGCUUGUGUGGGUUGUGUUGUUGUUGGUGAGGAUGAAGGUGUCGAUAACAGGGGAUGAAUGUAUAUGAGUUGCAAUUGGUGCAAUCUAGGAAUUAGUUAUAACCCUUAGAAGUGGUAGUUGUAACUUAGAUAUAUCUAGAAUUGCAGAGAAGUGGUGUUUAGAGAAUCUGGCGGUGAUUCAGUUUAUUGGAAUGUAUUACUAAAAGCUGCAAUUGCAGUUAGUCUAUAUUAACAUCGAUCGAUUCAAAGGAUGAACCAGUGGAUCGUGGAUCUCGAGGUAGGCGUGGCUUUUCAUCAAAAGAGGUGGGAAUAUAUUUGAAUCUUUUGUAACCAUUGUUGUUUCUUUUACAAAAAUUUUAUGCUUAACAAACUCAUGCAUUUUCUAGUGUGCAUUCCAUGCCUUAUUUAAAUUGCAUUAAGAUAAUUCUGUUGAUUCUUUGAAUCUUCCAUGAAAUGGAAAGGACUUGUGAGGUAUGUAAUUAUGGAUUGUUAUGGGAAAUGAGAAUUUCCACUUGUGGUAUAUA